AAGAACACCAGUGUUUGUUGUGUAAACCUUGCCCUGAAAUGAUCUCUGGUUGGUUAAUAAAAGUUGAUGACAGCCUGCAGCUGGGCAGAAGAGAGCUUCCUCCCACGAGGGUUGGAUCCUGCACCUGGGUUUCCAGCUGCCUAAUGAAACUACGCUGUCAAUGGACAGUCCCCCCUGGAGCCAUGCCACACCCGGCCUUCUAGGAACUCCCGGCAUCUGAAUUCCACCUGUUGGUCCUGGGGAUCCAGGUCUUUCUCUACCAAACAGGCUCUCAUGUAGCCCAACCUGGCCUUUACUAUAUAACCGUGGAGAACCUUGAACUCUCUGAUCCUUCUGCCUCUAGCUCCCAAAUGCUAGGAUUACAGGAAUGUGCUAGGAUCCCUGGAUUCUUAAAGCAUACCUAUGACUUAAAUGUGACUGUGUUUACAUCGCACCUACAGAACUUUAAGUUUUUAAACAAAGAACAGUGACUCGUAUAACUCCUUCAGGAGAAGGAAGAGUAAAGCCUCUGAGCCGCCUUGCUCCAGGGAGCCUGGCUCCUCCUGGAGAGUAACUGGAAGACUCAUCACAUUGGAUGAAGACAGAGAUGCAGGAAUCCUACGCAUUUAGAAUGGAGAAAAUGGAAGAUCCAGACAAGGAUUUGCCUGAUGCCCCAGAAGCUACACCUCUUCCUGCAGACACACAGGAAGUGUCUGAUAGCCACAGGUCCUCAGAAUAGUGCCUGGCACAGAGUUCCUGGAACAAUAUGAUUACAAAGAUCUGGCACAUUUGUGUUCUCUGGGCCCAGACAUUGCACCAGCACUGACAGCUAGUGAUGAUCUGGCUUAGCAUUCUGCAACUACCUGUGUAUGUCUUGCUUCAGAGAUGGAGCAGAGAGAGGAAGAGGA